GCUUUGACAACCCUCUCUCCCGCCGUCGGGCAUUGACAGCAUCGGUUUUCCAAUAUUUUUUCCCUAGUUCUUAAUUUCUCUAAUUUCCUCUAUUAAUCGAUCUCUGCGAUUCGUCGUCUGGAUGCUGCGUUUCUGCAAAUUGUGGAAGAAGAGGAACCUUUACCGUUACCUCCUAACAUUGAGAGAGAUCUUGUGCUUUUCAAGCCGCCAAUUCUCUCACUCUCAUGCCCGUGUUUUGUUGUUGUAAAUCAAAACCUGUUAGUCUAACGAAUAUAAUGGAUGUAUGGCUGGGUUGAUGAUUGGUAUCUUCUUGUUUUGGAAGUGGCUUGCAAAUUACAGAGGCAUUUCACCUGGAAUUAGAUGCUCGAAGGUAUCUUCAUGAACAGCUUGAGAUUCAGAGAAAAUUACAGUUGCUAAUUGAAGAACAAGGUAGGCAGCUGAAAAAAAUGUUUGACCAGCAGCAAAAGAAGUAAUAACCUCUUGAAUACUCAGAAUACAACCAAUGAUGAUACAGCAAUUAGUCAUAAGGAUGUUGCUUCUAGGCUCAAGGGAGUCAGUACAAGUCUACACUACCAUGAUGUCCAAUGAGGAAGCAUGUACAUCGAGCCUUACAUGACCUAAGUGUUGUUAUCACAACCAAUGGUGGAGCAGCUAUUCGUUGUAGCUUAUAACUAGGCAGCAGCUAUUAUUGUAAAUUUUCAAUACAUAAUGACAGAGCUCUAGGACUGUUCUUCUUCUUCCACUUGUAAUAUUCCUUUAGUUCAAUGUAUUUAUCUCAGUUGUAAUCAUACUAGGAUGUAACAGAGCAA